UUGACAGCCCUGGAGACUGAAAUCCUCUAUUUAUCCACAGGACAGGUACAGCACAGGCAGCGACAGUGCGAGCUUUCCCCACACCACCCCGUCCAUGUGCCUCAACCCUGACCUGGAGGGACCACCUCUAGAGGUGAGAGGGGGAUGUUCAGUCUCCAAGGCUCACUCAAUCCUUCCGCCUCA
rnacentral:sRNA from 1 species